rnacentral:rRNA from 1 species
GAUGAACGCUGGCGGCGUGCCUAAUACAUGCAAGUCGAGCGAACAGACGAGGAGCUUGCUCCUCUGAUGUUAGCGGCGGACGGGUGAGUAACACGUGGAUAACCUACCUAUAAGACGGGGAUAACUUCGGGAAACCGGAGCUAAUACCGGAUAACAUGUUGAACCGAAUGGUUCAACAGGGAAAGACGGUCUUGCUGUCACUUAUAGAUGGAUCCGCGCCGCAUUAGCUAGUUGGUAAGGUAACGGCUUACCAAGGCAACGAUGCGUAGCCGACCUGAGAGGGUGAUCGGCCACACUGGAACUGAGACACGGUCCAGACUCCUACGGGAGGCAGCAGUAGGGAAUCUUCCGCAAUGGGCGAAAGCCUGACGGAGCAACGCCGCGUGAGUGAAGAAGGUCUUCGGAUCGUAAAACUCUGUUAUUAGGGAAGAACAAAUGUGUAAGUAACUAUGCACGUCUUGACGGUACCUAAUCAGAAAGCCACGGCUAACUACGUG